GAUGAACGCUGGCGGCGUGCCUAAUACAUGCAAGUCGAGCGAACGGACGAGAAGCUUGCUUCUCUGAUGUUAGCGGCGGACGGGUGAGUAACACGUGGAUAACCUACCUAUAAGACUGGGAUAACUUCGGGAAACCGGAGCUAAUACCGGAUAAUAUUUUGAACCGCAUGGUUCAAAAGUGAAAGACGGUCUUGCUGUCACUUAUAGAUGGAUCCGCGCUGCAUUAGCUAGUUGGUAAGGUAACGGCUUACCAAGGCAACGAUGCAUAGCCGACCUGAGAGGGUGAUCGGCCACACUGGAACUGAGACACGGUCCAGACUCCUACGGGAGGCAGCAGUAGGGAAUCUUCCGCAAUGGGCGAAAGCCUGACGGAGCAACGCCGCGUGAGUGAUGAAGGUCUUCGGAUCGUAAAACUCUGUUAUUAGGGAAGAACAUAUGUGUAAGUAACUGUGCACAUCUUGACGGUACCUAAUCAGAAAGCCACGGCUAACUACGUGCCAGCAGCCGCGGUAAUACGUAGGUGGCAAGCGUUAUCCGGGAAUAUUGGGUGUAAAGCGCGCGUAGGCGGUUUUUUAGUCUGAUGUGAAAGCCCACGGCUCAACCGUGGAGGGUCAUUGGAAACUGGAAAACUUGAGUGCAGAAGAGGAAAGUGGAAUUCCAUGUGUAGCGGUGAAAUGCGCAGAGAUAUGGAGGAACACCAGUGGCGAAGGCGACUUUCUGGUCUGUAACUGACGCUGAUGUGCGAAAGCGUGGGGAUCAAACAGGAUUAGAUACCCUGGUAGUCCACGCCGUAAACGAUGAGUGCUAAGUGUUAGGGGGUUUCCGCCCCUUAGUGCUGCAGCUAACGCAUUAAGCACUCCGCCUGGGGAGUACGACCGCAAGGUUGAAACUCAAAGGAAUUGACGGGGACCCGCACAAGCGGUGGAGCAUGUGGUUUAAUUCGAAGCAACGCGAAGAACCUUACCAAAUCUUGACAUCCUUUGACAACUCUAGAGAUAGAGCUUUCCCCUUCGGGGGACAAAGUGACAGGUGGUGCAUGGUUGUCGUCAGCUCGUGUCGUGAGAUGUUGGGUUAAGUCCCGCAACGAGCGCAACCCUUAAGCUUAGUUGCCAUCAUUAAGUUGGGCACUCUAAGUUGACUGCCGGUGACAAACCGGAGGAAGGUGGGGAUGACGUCAAAUCAUCAUGCCCCUUAUGAUUUGGGCUACACACGUGCUACAAUGGACAAUACAAAGGGCAGCGAAACCGUGAGGUCAAGCAAAUCCCAUAAAGUUGUUCUCAGUUCGGAUUGUAGUCUGCAACUCGACUACAUGAAGCUGGAAUCGCUAGUAAUCGUAGAUCAGCAUGCUACGGUGAAUACGUUCCCGGGUCU
rnacentral:rRNA from 1 species